CAAGGUCUGUGGUGCAAAAAGUCCUGAAAGCCUCACUUCUACAAAACUACGCAAACAAACAGGAACUUUGUCUCAAGUUCUUAACCUCAGUAACACAGAACUGGAUCAGUUAGCUGAUUUUCUUGGCCAUGAUAUAAGAGUGCAUCGGCAGUUCUACAGACUUCCUGAGGGCACUCUCCAACUUGCUAAAGUUAGCAAAGUUCUCAUGGCUCUGGAAAAGGGACGUCUGGCAGAAUUCAAGGGCAAGACCCUUGAUGACAUCAGCAUUGAUCCUGAGGAGAAUGUUCACCUCGACAGCGACACUGAAGAUGUGUGUGAGUCAGGCUCACAAGAAAGUCAGAUCACAUCCAGCCAGAGAGAAGAGAAUGAGCCCACAAUGUCAAAUGUGAGCUAUAUUGAUGAAGC